rnacentral:rRNA from 1 species
UAAUACGUAGGGGGCGAGCGUUGCUCGGAAUUACUGGGCGUAAAGGGAGUGCAGGCGGCCGGUUAAGUCAAAGAUGAAAUCCCGAGGCUUAACUUCGGAACGGUCUUUGAUACUGAUCGGCUUGAGGCUGGCUGAGGAGAGCGGAAUUCCCGGUGGAGCGGUGAAAUGCGUAGAUAUCGGGAGGAACACCAGAGGCGAAGGCGGCUCUCUAAACUAGUCCUGACGCUGAGACUCGAAAGCUAGGGGAGCAAACGGGAUUAGAUACCCCGGUAGUCCUAGCCGUAAACGAUGGACACUAGAUGUUCUCGCGUUCAUGCGGGAGUGUCGUAGCUAACGCGUUAAGUGUCCCGCCUGGGGAGUACGGUCGCAAGGCUGAAACUCAAAUGAAUUGACGG